rfam:Danio rerio chromosome 14 genomic contig CTG1748, GRCz11 reference primary assembly.
AGCCACAGCCAUAUCACCCUGCAGCCCAAGACCGGUUACUCACUAAAGCUAAGCAGGGCUGAGCCUGGUUAGUACCUGGAUGGGAGACCACUAGGGAACACUAGGUUGCUGUUGGAA